ACUGGGUCUAAUACCGGAUAUGACCUUACAUCGCAUGGUGUUUGGUGGAAAGAUUUAUUGGUGCGAGAUGGGCCCGCGGCCUAUCAGCUUGUUGGUGGGGUAAUGGCCUACCAAGGCGACGACGGGUAGCCGGCCUGAGAGGGCGACCGGCCACACUGGGACUGAGACACGGCCCAGACUCCUACGGGAGGCAGCAGUGGGGAAUAUUGCACAAUGGGCGAAAGCCUGAUGCAGCGACGCCGCGUGAGGGAUGACGGCCUUCGGGUUGUAAACCUCUUUCGACAGGGACGAAGCGCAAGUGACGGUACCUGUAGAAAAAGCACCGGCCAACUACGUGCCAGCAGCCGCGGUAAUACGUAGGGUGCGAGCGUUGUCCGGAAUUACUGGGCGUAAAGAGCUUGUAGGCGGCUUGUCGCGUCGAUCGUGAAAACUUGGGGCUCAACCCCAAGCUUGCGGUCGAUACGGGCAGGCUUGAGUACUUCAGGGGAGACUGGAAUUCCUGGUGUAGCGGUGAAAUGCGCAGAUAUCAGGAGGAACACCGGUGGCGAAGGCGGGUCUCUGGGAAGUAACUGACGCUGAGAAGCGAAAGCGUGAGUAGCGAACAGGAUUAGAUACCCUGGUAGUCCACGCCGUAAACGGUGAGUACUAGGUGUGGGUUUCCUUCCACGGGAUCCGUGCCGUAGCUAACGCAUUAAGUACCCCGCCUGGGGAGUACGGGCCGCAAGGCUAAAACUCAAAGGAUUUGACGGGGGCCCGCACAAGCGGCGG
rnacentral:rRNA from 1 species